ensembl:lncRNA
AUGAAGAUGGGAUCCCGCACAUUGGUUCUGAUCUUGUUUUUAGGUGCCCUCUGCGUUGCACAGGCACUGAAGUGCAACUACUGCCAGAAGAUUGAGAAAAACAAUCCCACCUGUGAUAAGAUAGAGGAGAAAGAAUGCACCAGUGGUUUUGAUAAAUGCAUUACGAUCAAAAUGCAUUCUCCAGCCUACGGUGAAGUGCGCAGAUGUGCAAAUGCUAAUGAGUGUGAUGCUCAGGUGCCUCCUCAGGUGGAGAAACAGUGCUGCAACACAGACCUCUGCAACUGAUCUGCUCCAUCAGCCAAAUGUAUUUUACAAUAUGAUCUGUGAUAAUCUUACACUACUUAAAAUGCUCAAACUAUAGAGCAUACUAUCAUUGUUAUUAAUUGACUUUAAUUUAAUAUAUAGGUAAAUGUAAGUAGAGAAUAAUAUAAAGAAAUAAAAUCUGGCCAGCAAAACA